rnacentral:piRNA from 1 species
UGACGCAGAGCACAUUACAUCCAUCCCAC